GACGAACGCUGGCGGCGUGCCUAAUACAUGCAAGUAGAACGCAGUUGCGAACGGGUGAGUAACGCGUAGGUAACUGCCUCAUAGCGGGGGAUAACUAUUGGAAACGAUAGCUAAUACCGCAUACUGUGAGCUGGACCUGCGUUGGAUUAGCUAGUUGGGGAGGUAAAGGGGCACCAAGGCGACGAUACAUAGCCGGCCUGAGCGGGUGAUCGGCCACACUGGGACUGAGAAAAGGCCCAAACUCCUUCGGGAGGCAGCAGUAGGGAAACAUCGGAAAUGGGCGGAAGUCUGACCGAGCAACGGCGGGGGAGUGAAGAAGGUUCUCGGGUCGUAAAGCUCUGUUGUGAGGGGAGCGGUAACUAACCAGAAAGCGACGGCUAACUACGUGCCAGCAGCCGCGGUAAUAC
rnacentral:rRNA from 1 species